rnacentral:rRNA from 1 species
GCCUAUGACCAACCCACCUGGAAUGUGCCCGAUCUCUUCAUAUCUCAUAAGCUAAGCAGGGUUGAAUGUGGAUAGUCCUUGGAUGGGUGACCACAAUGCACAAAACUUGUGUUAUAGGGU